rnacentral:rRNA from 1 species
GAUGAACGCUGGCGGCGUGCUUAACACAUGCAAGUCGAACGAAGCACUUCAAUCGAUUUCUUCGGAAUGAAGUUUUAGUGACUGAGUGGCGGACGGGUGAGUAACGCGUGGGUAACCUGCCUCACACAGGGGGAUAACAGUUGGAAACGGCUGCUAAUACCGCAUAAGCGCACAGUACCGCAUGGUACAGUGUGAAAAACUCCGGUGGUGUGAGAUGGACCCGCGUCUGAUUAGCUAGUUGGCAGGGCAAUGGCCUACCAAGGCGACGAUCAGUAGCCGACCUGAGAGGGUGACCGGCCACAUUGGGACUGAGACACGGCCCAAACUCCUACGGGAGGCAGCAGUGGGAAUAUUGCGACAAUGGGGGAAACCCUGAUGCAGCGACGCCGCGUGAGCGAAGAAGUAUUCGGUAUGUAAAGCUCUAUCAGCAGGGAANAGAAAUGACGGUACCUGACU